ACUUCAGGACCACUACACACUAUUCACACCAUCCUUCAGGACCACUACACACUAUUCACAUUGUGCUUCAGGACCACUACACACUAUUCACACCAUCCUUCAGGACCACUAUACACUAUUCACACUGUACUUCAGGACCACUAUACACUAUUCACACUGUACUUCAGAUCCACUAUACACUAUUCACACCAUCCUUCAGGACCACUACACACUAUUCACACUAUCCUUCAGGACCACUAUACACUAUUCACACUGUACUUCAGGACCACUACACACUAUUCACACCAUCCUUCAGGACUACUACACACUAUUCACACCAUCCUUCAGGAUCACUAUA
rnacentral:lncRNA from 1 species